rnacentral:rRNA from 1 species
GAUGAACGCUGGCGGCGUGCCUAAUACAUGCAAGUCGAGCGAAAAGACGAGGAGCUUGCUGGGCGGACGUUAGGGGCAGGCGGGAGAGAAACGCGUGGAUAACCUCCCUAUAAGACGGGGAAAACUUCGGGAAACCGGAGCUAAUACCGGAGAAUAUAUUGAACCGCAGGGGGGAAUAGUGAAAGACGGCUUUGCUGGCACGUAUAGAUGGAUCUGCGCCGCAUUAGCUAGUUGGUAAGGUAACGGCUUACCAAGGCAACGAUGCGUAGCCGACCUGAGAGGGGGGUCGCCGACAUGGGAACGUGGACACGGUCCAUGGUCCUGCGGGAGGCAGCAGUCGGGUAUCUGCCGCAGUGGGCGAAAGCCUGACGGAGCAGCGCCGCGUGACUUGUGGAGGUCUUCGGUUCGUAAAGCUCUGUUAUGAGGUAAGAACAACUUUGGAAGUAACCAUGCACGGCUUGACGGUACCGAAUCAGAAAGCCCCGGCUAACUACGUG